rnacentral:lncRNA from 1 species
CAAACAGUGAACUUGAACCUAUUGAAGCCAAUAUAUACAAUAAGGAUCUGAAUGGCUAGGGAUCAAGAGAACGUGCAGUCAAACUUAGUAGCCUCACUGCGAAUAGCCAAUAACACCGUAGGUCAAAAGAUCACUCACACCACUAUAGCAUCGAGAAGAUCACUGACGAGUGAGUAGACAUCCAUAUGGUUUCUAGUAUUGAUCACACUCACUGUAAGUUAUUCUCUAACAACCACCCACACUCUCACCCAGUGUCCCUACACUAUAGAUCCGAGACUUAUCUAUCUAUAAGGGAGGUG